UACGUAGGGGGCAAGCGUUGUCCGGAAUCAUUGGGCGUAAAGAGCGUGUAGGCGGCCCGAUAAGUCCGCUGUGAAAAGUCCAGGGCUCAACCCUGGAAUGCCGGUGGAUACUGUCGGGCUCGAAUCCGGAAGAGGUGAGUGGAAUUCCUGGUGUAGCGGUGAAAUGCGCAGAUAUCAGGAGGAACACCCGUGGCGAAGGCGGCUCUCUGGGACGGUACUGACGCUGAGACGCGAAAGCGUGGGGAGCGAACAGG
rnacentral:rRNA from 1 species